GGCGGCGUGCCUAACACAUGCAAGUCUUGGGAGAAAGAGGUAGCAAUAUCUUGAGUAAACCGGCGCAAGGGUGCGUAACACGUAGGCAACCUGCCCUAAGGACGGGAAUAACUUCGAGAAAUCGAGGCUAAUACCCGAUAAUGCAGCGGCACCGCAUGGUGACAGUUGUUAAAUGCCCGCAAGGGUUCCUUUGGAUGGGCCUGCGUCCCAUUAGGUAGUUGGUGAGGUAACGGCUCACCAAGCCGACGAUGGGUAGCUGGUCUGAGAGGACGAUCAGCCACACUGGAACUGAGACACGGUCCAGACUCCUACGGGAGGCAGCAGUGAGGAAUAUUGCACAAUGCCCGAAAGGGUGAUGCAGCGACGCCGCGUGAAGGAUGAAGGCCCUAUGGGUCGUAAACUUCUUUUGAGGGGGAAGAAUAUGCCGCUACAGGCGGUAUUGACUGUACCUCUAGAAAAAGCAUCGGCUAACUACGUGCCAGCAGCCGCGGUAAUACGUAGGAUGCGAGCGUUGUCCGGAAUCACUGGGUGUAAAGGGAGCGCAGGCGGUUUAGCAAGUCAUUGGUGAAAUUCUCGGGCUCAACCCGGGGACUGCCAAUGAUACUGCUGAUCUUGAGUGUGGAAGAGGUAGAUGGAAUUCCUGGUGUAGCG
rnacentral:rRNA from 1 species